UACAGAGGUCCCAAGCGUUGUUCGGAUUCAUUGGGCGUAAAGAGCUCGUAGGCGGCUCGUUGCGUCGGCUGUGAAAACCCGCAGCUCAACUGUGGGCUUGCAGCCGAUACGGGCGGGCUGGAGUUCGGUAGGGGAGACUGGAAUUCCUGGUGUAGCGGUGAAAUGCGCAGAUAUCAGGAGGAACACCGGUGGCGAAGGCGGGUCUCUGGGCCGAUACUGACGCUGAGGAGCGAAAGCGUGGGGAGCGAACAGG
rnacentral:rRNA from 1 species